rnacentral:sRNA from 1 species
UGAGACGACAUCUGACGCCGUUGUAAAGGCCUCGGCUUAACUCAAUUGCAGACUCUGAUAUAAUUUCCUCUAGUUCGUCGUUGAAUUGUUUUGAAGCGCAAACAUUCUGCGAGUAUGACCGCCAUUCAUCUGCUGCAAUUUUAAAGCUAUCCUGUAACUCUGCAGCUCCAUGGAUUGUGAACGAAAGGGUGUUCUUGGUCCGAAGCAAUAAUUCUACAAGCCCUAGUCGCAUGUUCGAGCUCCGCGGUCUCCAGAACUUAUGCUCCGGGAAACGGACAGAAAUGUUAAGACACUUGAUGGCGCGAGAUCCGAAUCUCCGGAUUAGAUGGCACAGAUGGUUAUAGCGACCCUCAUUGUAUGCAAAGAGGAUAUCCUUACGGACUUCAGCUCUCUCCCCUGCAUCCCGCAUCCGCUCCUCCACUAAUUCCGACCCCUGGGUAAUUUUCACGUCUGCGACAAGCCUUUGCCUCACUCUUUCGGCCAAAAACCCAUUGACGGAAAUAUUCGGCUGAGAAUAACGUCUGUUAUCCCCAAGCUGGUAUAUAUGAUAGCUAUCAUAUUGCGAUACGGUGAUAGGUCCUAUCUGGAAGUGAAUCCACACGUUCUUGUGCAGCACUACAUGUAAUGCUUCCUCACGAAUCUGUCUAUUAAGCUGCAGAAUCUGAAGACAUAGCACUUUGUCCAGAGGCUUGUUUAGAUCAUCGGAGGCAUCCAUGCUUGGGUCCACUACGAGUAAGAACGAAUAAAUCUCGUAUCGCAAUUCGAUUGGUAA